rnacentral:rRNA from 1 species
GACGAACGCUGGCGGCGUGCUUAACACAUGCAAGUCGAACGGAGAGGGCCUGCUUUUGUGGGGUGCGCGAGUGGCGAACGGGGGAGUAACACGUGAGUAACCUGCCCUUGGCUUUGGGGGAACUUCAGGAAACUGGGGCGAAUACCGGACAGGAGCUCCGGCGGCAUGGGGGGGGUUGGAAAGUUUCGGAUGUGGGGGAUGGACUGGAGGCUUAGCAACUUGUUGGUUGGGUAGUGGCUUACCGAGGCUUUGACGGGUAGCCGGCCUGGGAGGGUGACCGGCCCCCUUGGGCCUCGGAUGGGGCCCAGACUGCUUCGGCAGGCAUCAGUGGGGGAUAUUGCGCGAUAGGCGGAAGCCUGGUGCAGCGACGCCGCUUGCGGGAUGACGGUCUUCGGGUUGUAAACCGCGUUCGCCUGUGACGUAGCGUCAGUGACGGUAACUGGUCAAGAAGCACCGGCUAACUACGUG